rnacentral:rRNA from 1 species
AGCGAACGCUGGCGGCAGGCCUAACACAUGCAAGUCGAACGAACUCUUCGGAGUUAGUGGCGGACGGGUGAGUAACACGUGGGAACGUGCCUUUUGGUUCGGAAUAACUCAGGGAAACUUGUGCUAAUACCGAAUGUGCCCUUCGGGGGAAAGAUUUAUCGCCAUUAGAGCGGCCCGCGUCUGAUUAGCUAGUUGGUGAGGUAACGGCUCACCAAGGCGACGAUCAGUAGCUGGUCUGAGAGGAUGACCAGCCACACUGGGACUGAGACACGGCCCAGACUCCUACGGGAAGCAGCAGUGGGGAAUCUUGCGCAAUGGGCGAAAGCCUGACGCAGCCAUGCCGCGUGAAUGAUGAAGGUCUUAGGAUUGUAAAAUUCUUUCACCGGGGACGAUAAUGACGGUACCCGGAGAAGAAGCCCCGGCUAACUUUGUG